UCCGGUUUGUCACCGGCAGUCUCAUUAGAGUGCUCUUGCGUAGCAACUAAUGACAAGGGUUGCGCUCGUUGCGGGACUUAACCCAACAUCUCACGACACGAGCUGACGACAGCCAUGCAGCACCUGUGUUCCGGUUCUCUUGCGAGCACGGCCAAAUCUCUUCGGCUUUCCAGACAUGUCAAGGGUAGGUAAGGUUUUUCGCGUUGCAUCGAAUUAAUCCACAUCAUCCACCGCUUGUGCGGGUCCCCGUCAAUUCCUUUGAGUUUUAAUCUUGCGACCGUACUCCCCAGGCGGUCAACUUCACGCGUUAGCUGCGCUACUGAAGCCUAACGGCCCCAACAGCUAGUUGACAUCGUUUAGGGCGUGGACUAC
rnacentral:misc_RNA from 1 species